AAAACCCGAGGCUCAACCUCGGGCCUGCAGUGGGUACGGGCAGACUAGAGUGCGGUAGGGGAGAAUGGAAUUCCUGGUGUAGCGGUGGAAUGCGCAGAUAUCAGGAGGAACACCGAUGGCGAAGGCAGUUCUCUGGGCCGUUACUGACGCUGAGGAGCGAAAGCGUGGGGAGCGAACAGGAUUAGAUACCCUGGUAGUCCACGCCGUAAACGUUGGGAACUAGAUGUGGGGACCUUUCCACGGUCUCCGUGUCGCAGCUAACGCAUUAAGUUCCCCGCCUGGGGAGUACGGCCGCAAGGCUAAAACUCAAAGGAAUUGACGGGGGCCCGCACAAGCGGCGGAGCAUGCGGAUUAAUUCGAUGCAACGCGAAGAACCUUACCAAGGCUUGACAUAUACCGGAAACUUCCAGAAAUGGUUGCCCCGCAAGGUCGGUAUACAGGUGGUGCAUGGUUGUCGUCAGCUCGUGUCGUGAGAUGUUGGGUUAAGUCCCGCAACGAGCGCAACCCUCGUUCUAUGUUGCCAGCACGUCAUGGUGGGAACUCAUAGGAGACUGCCGGGGUCAACUCGGAGGAAGGUGGGGAUGACGUCAAAUCAUCAUGCCCCUUAUGUCUUGGGCUUCACGCAUGCUACAAUGGCCGGUACAAAGGGCUGCGAUACCGUAAGGUGGAGCGAAUCCCAAAAAGCCGGUCUCAGUUCGGAUUGAGGUCUGCAACUCGACCUCAUGAAGUCGGAGUCGCUAGUAAUCGCAGAUCAGCAACGCUGCGGUGAAUACGUUCCCGGGCCUUGUACACACCGCCCGUCAAGUCAUGAAAGUCGGUAACACCCGAAGCCAGUGGCCUAACCGCAAGGAGGGAGCUGUCGAAGGUGGGAUCGGUGAUUAGGACUAAGUCGUAACAAGGUAGCCGUACCGGAAGGUGCGGCUGGAUCACCUCCUUUCUAAGGA
rnacentral:rRNA from 2 species